AGCACUAUAUUUAAACCUGGAUAGAAAUUUUCCCUAUCCUUGGUUACGCUGUAGUGCAAAAGAAAUCCUGGCUUCUUUCUGUCGCACAGCUGACUUUGUGCCAUUCUGCUGUUGCUGUAUGGAGCUAAGGAACAUAA
ensembl:snoRNA